rnacentral:lncRNA from 1 species
GACAAGGAUAAAUAUACACUGCUCAAAAAACGAAAAUUACCAUAUGUAACAAGAUAUUAUAAUUUUAAAACAACAGUACCAAAAAACCAAUAACGGCAGGUGGCAUAUAUGCUAAGUCCCUCAAGGCAGAGUCGUUUCGUGGCAUAUAUGUUAAGCAUUGGUCUCACCCACAGUACCCCUUUGGCCCUCUCUUGUUCUAUUUACUUUUAAGCGGUUUAUAGCAAAAGCAAGCCAAUGGAGGUUUCGCACUUGGGUCUAUGGCCGUGACUCGCCCUUUCUCGCAAAAACCAUAUCCUCCAAAUUUAGACUUGCACUCAUUUUUACAUUGUUCUACAUCACAUGUUCCUUUACCAUUUGCCAAAUUAACAGUAUAAUAUUUUCCUCCCUUAGACCUUGGCACUCCUGUAAUAGAGAGAUACAUAAUAUUUUAGUAUCUACGUGUAAGUUUUUUAAAAUAUAAUUUGUAUUUGAAACAGAAAAAUUCUUUUUUAAAGAAAAAUAUAACAUAACUAUAUAUAUCCAUAUUAUUAAGAUAAAAAAUAUAUUUAAAUCUAUUGCCAAACACUAUUAAAUCAGAUUUUAUAUGAAUAUUAUAGUUUUAUUAAAUCCCAAAUGUGUGUUUCCAAACAGAUUUAAAGACACUAAAAGGAUAUAACUUGGAUUCGAGUACUAUAUAUUCCGAUCUUCAAUAAGAUAUAUUCCGAUACUUUCUUAGUAGAUUAUGUAUCUAAUUUCAGAUUUCCUAAUAUUUUUUUCUCUAACUUAUUUUAUAUUAUAUGAUCUUAUAGGAAAGAACGGAUACGAGACAUAAAUAGGUAAAUGAAAAAAAAAAAUCUUAAACUAUUUUUCAUUAAAAAAAUAUAGAACGAGAAAUAAAGGUAACGAGAUGUGAUCACAAAAUUUGCAUAUUUAUAUUCAGUUUCAAAUUUUAAUUAUCAAAAACGAGUACGAUACGGGAACAUAAAAUUUAAAUAGCUAAAUUCAUUUUCAAAUAACAAAUCCGAUGGUAUAUAAUUUAUUCAGAGGAUUAUGCGUGCUAAUACAAACCUUGCACAACAAGAAUGCAGACAGUUAGGACGAUUAGAGAGAUUUGCAAGACUUUCCUCAUCCUGGAUUAUAUAAAUGAAUUUUUGGUAUCUCGAAAAAUUAACAAAAACAAACAAGUUU